CAUAGCCAAACCUUCUGACAGAUUACUGCCUGAAGCUUGUUUGCAAUUUCUCAGAUGUUUUAGAGGUUAAACCAGAUGACAUAGGAGUAUGGCGCAAUUUCUUCUUCUUCUUGUAUUGGCUGGAGAAACUCAUGCAUUUUUUCAGGUUGCUGCUGAAACAGAAUGUAAUCUCACUCAAGCUACAUCCCCAUGCUUUCCUACAGUCGGAGGAUCAGCCUACAUCAUUCUAUUGAGAAACGCAACUGGAUAUAAGCUACUGUUGUUACAAAUACGAUCUUAAAGUGUUUUCCUUGAAGAGAGGAAAACUGAGUAUUGAAGAGGAAUAUAGAAACAAAGUCGAGUUCUUGAUCGACACAGGGACGCUCAAGAUCAGCAAUGUGGAGAGGAUUGAUACAGGUCAAUACAGAGUGGAGAGUUUUGAUCCUGAUGGAAUAUAUAAAGGCAUCUACUUUAACCUCCAAGUUAAAG